UACGUAGGGUGCAAGCGUUAAUCGGAAUUACUGGGCGUAAAGCGUGCGCAGGCGGCUUUGCAAGACAGAUGUGAAAUCCCCGGGCUCAACCUGGGAACUGCAUCUGUGACUGCAUCGCUGGAGUGCGGCAGAGGGGGAUGGAAUUCCGCGUGUAGCAGUGAAAUGCGUAGAUAUGCGGAGGAACACCGAUGGCGAAGGCAAUCCCCUGGGCCUGCACUGACGCUCAUGCACGAAAGCGUGGGGAGCAAACAGG
rnacentral:rRNA from 1 species